rnacentral:rRNA from 1 species
UACGAAGGGGGCUAGCGUUGCUCGGAAUUACUGGGCGUAAAGGGCGCGUAGGCGGACAGUUUAGUCAGAGGUGAGAGCCCAGGGCUCAACCUUGGAAUUGCCUUUGAUACUGGCUGUCUUGAGUUCGGGAGAGGUGAGUGGAAUGCCGAGUGUAGAGGUGAAAUUCGUAGAUAUUCGGCGGAACACCAGUGGCGAAGGCGACUCACUGGCCCGAUACUGACGCUGAGGCGCGAAAGCGUGGGGAGCAAACAGG